AAAUAUAUGUCGUAGUCGCGUAAAACGGAAAUACAUAGCAUUAUCUAAACUAUAAUAAACAAUGUAUCAUCAUAAUAUGUGUAGUGUUGCUUCUACGGAAUCCCGAUUAUUACGUUUCACAGAGAUAACAUUACAAUCUACGAUGUUAAUACCAUAUUACGCUAAUGAUAACGAGUGAUAAAAAUAUUGGUACAAAGUCCGUACCAUAAUCGAGUUUCAAAAUCGAAUUUUUAUUUGAAACUAGUCGAGUUGCGUUCUCGAGUUCCGUCAAUCAGUACGGAGCUGUCAGUCUCAAUUGUCAAACGUCAAAGCAAAAGCAGUGUUCUUGUUGACUAGUGUUUUGUAAGAAAGAAAGAAUUCACGAGAGAUAAUAAUUUGGUUGCAUAUUUUUUUAUAACUGAGAUCGUAAAUAUUUAUUAUAAUGCCACGUGCUUAUGAGGAUUUUUUUGCUAUUUUACAAUUUCUAAUAAUGUGGUGGUGUCCAAAAGGGAUUACAGUGCUUUAUGGAGGUGAUAUUAAGAACAAUAAAGAGUAAGAAUUGUGUGACGGGUAUGUAACGAAACCCGAUUUAAGUGUCGAUCAAGUCUAUUAAGUACAGUGCAUGAUUUCACGAUAGUUUAUGGGUAAACAAAUGCAUAUUCAUAAAUACGAGAGGCAAUUCAAAGCUAUUCAUAUACCAAAACCACACAUUCAGGUUUAUGUAUAAGAAGGCAUACGGGAGCCAGCUGUGGUAUUGCUGGUACUUCUUCAGCAGAUGUUGUCCGGCGAAACUCCGGAUAAAUGAUGCGGGGAAGGUGACGGAGAGCAUAGGCCGGCAUAACCAUGACCCUCCGACCUGCUGGAUGACUCCCGAUGGCAAGUCAUAUAACUUGCCACCGCUGCCCUGCAAGAACAACGACCGAAGGACGCCAUAAGGCUUCUACAGAUGUUGCAAUGAAUGGCAUGCGAUUUUAAAUAAUUGCUGGCUAAAUAGGAGCAGGCGUGGCUCACUCCGCGAUUUCGUCGGGUCGCUACAAGUACAAGCUGCCCACACCAAUUUUGGUGUCUAGCCAUAGUUGCCCCGCACUGCUACGGAACGGACGCCUGCUCGCACUUGCGCCACCUAGCGGUCAUAUCUGUUGUAAUAGACGCGUUUUGUUAGAGAGUGAACCUUCUGUAAGUACCUAGUACUAUUCUUUAUUCUGUGAAUGUGUUCAGCGAUGAUACCGCAAUGUAUUGCAAAUCGCAUGCGAUUAUUGGUGACAUUUGCAGAGGCCUAAAACCUAAUUUUAUCAUGUGAUGAAAAUAUUUUGUCUAUUUGUUUCACUGCCCUGUAAAUAUGAGAACAAAGUUUAUAUUUAAGUAAAUAUAAUUAUGUUGAGAUUCUAUUUGCCUUUAUAUUUUUAUUGUUAUUAUGAAUUGUUUAACAUUUUUAGAUUAAUUAGGCUUUUAGCAUGUCGUGUCCACAAAUUAUUCAAAGAAUGAGAUAUUUGUUAUUGAUACAUACAGAUUAUCUAAAUUGAUUUUGUAUGUACAUAUUUUAUUUUAUUUGCCAUAAAAAAUAUAAAAAUGUCUGGUUUAAUGCCCAGUGAGACUAAUAUCUCUCACAAAUGUAAUUUUUUUAAGUAAUGGUUAACUGGGUCACAUUUUUGGCGUUUUUAAACAAAAGGUACCUAUCAUUUGUUCUGCUCCUAUUAAUAACGAUUUUUUAACUGUAGGUAAACUGAUAUUGUGGUACCUCUUGGCUUAGAAAACGAUGUUGAUAUUACCUUCAUGACAAGCAUAUAUUAUUUUAUGAAAAUUAUGACUUUGAUUCAGCGUAAAACUACCUACGCUCAAGAGCAAUAAUAUGGGGUCACUUACGUUUGUAUUGCUUAAUUAAUUGCUCCUCAUUGUAAAUGUGUUUAUAAAAAAUAGCCUGUAUCUUCUAUUUACAAUUUAGCUUACAAAAUUAUUCAAACAAGUAAGAAACACGCGGUUAUGACCAGCGGCCCUCGCGCUGCUCUGGUGUGUGAGCGAGACAGCGCUAUGCAAGCGAUGUCUCGCACGUACAGCGGAGGGGCGUGCGAAUAUGCAUUAUGCAUCUAAUGUGAAGACCGCCUUAUGGGGGGUAAGGUAAUAAGGCCCAGCCAUACAAGAAAAAUAAUCAAAAUCGAACGAAAGAAAACAAAUGCAACUCACUCGCAAACGCAAACCGUGAGCCUUAGGGCCACUUGCAUCUUUCACUAACCCGGAGUUAACCGGUUAAAUUAAUGGAGUUACCAUAUGGUUACCAGUACAAUUUGACACUGGGUUAACUGUUUAACCGGUUAUUGGUAUGUAGGGGUUGUGCACAAAUCACGCGAGGUGUUUUCGGCUACUUUUUUACCCCCCCUCCCCCUUAGUGAUAUUUGGUGAGGUUUUUGACAACCCCCCUCCCCCCACACAACCUCACGUAUUUUUUUGAAAUUUUUUCAUUCGACCCAAUUUUAAGAUAAAUAGAUACCCCCCCUCCCCCAACGUGAUCUAUCGUGAUUUUUUCGUCACCCCCCUCCCCCCAUCUGACCUCGCGUGAUUUGUGCACAAGCCCGUAGUGCAAGUGGUCCUUAGGAGGUUAUGAAGGCUGGUGUUAAUUAGCUUACUGCAACAAUGGCGCCCGUUCUUUAUAACUAGUCCAGUAUAUCGUACCUCGCACAAUUCAAGGACCUAUACAAGGUGAGCAACUAGUUAGGUGAGAAAUUUGAAAUGAGUUAAGUUUAGAGUCACACGAACCCGCUACCAAAAAGCCCCAUACAAUCGAAUUAAAGCUCUCAUUUUAAAACGACGUUUAUAUACAAAACUUUGCAGUCAUAAAGUAUUAGUCUAAAAUAUAACGAUUCCAUAUACAGUGUGGCCAAAAAAUAAGUGCAUUCCCGUUGCCAGGGAGGUUUUGGGAUUAUACUGAGCAACUUACUAUGGGAUCUACCAAGAAAUCGCGAAAAAAAAUUUGGCUGCACUGAGAGAAAAGUACAACAAAAACACACUUAGAAUUACAAAAAUAAACUUAAUCCGGGGACAAGGAGAGUCAACGAAUAGGAACAAAUUGACAUUUGCAAUUUCUAUUAUCUUUUUGUUGAAAUUAUAUUUGGGAUUACUGAGCUGUUUGUAGAAAUAAAUAAACUUUACAGAAAUAGUGAAUCGUCCAUAAUUAUUACUAAAACUUCAUUUUUUCCCCCAGUACAGAACUGUUUUUAAUUCCUGGUGAUGAUUUUUCUCUCAGUGUGUUUCAUACAGUUUGGCUAGUCCAUUUUCUAUGUGAGGGUAUUUUUUUUUGCGAUUUCGGAGUUGGUCCCAUAGUGAAAGUUGUUCAUUAUAGUCCCAAAACCUCCCUGGCAACGGGACUGAACUUAUUUUUUGACCAUCCUGUAUAGUCGCACGAGGUCUCAUAUAGAUGCUACAUUAGUAAUAAAGCAGUAUUGUUUAUAUAAGUCAUUAAACUCGUAGUUUUCUACUUUAUAAAACAUACGUUUAUAAGCAAAGGAGUGCUUUUGUAUCGAGAACAAUUUAAUUUUGUCCAGUAGGUAAUACCUUACCUACCUUACCUUUCAAUUCAGUAGGUACCUAAACAAAUUGGAAAUGCAAAAAUAGAGAUGUUCGAUUUAUGUGCCAGUCUAAAAAGACAUACAUAUAUAGGUGCAAUAACGAGUAGCAAUCGUCCUUUGUUAUUUAUAUGAUAAAAUACAAGACAACGAAAAUAAUUUUGAUCCAAAAACUAAAUCUGACAUAAAAUCGGCCCACAUUUGAUUUUUUAAUUUCUAACACUUUUGGAAGAACAAUACGACAAAUGAAAAUUUCUGCGCAUUUUUGUAAGAUGCAUUAUUAAUAUUUGACAGAUAUAAAGUGAUGUUAAAAGUCAUGACAGCAUUUGUUAAGACUCGAGUUCCUCAAAAAUGCAUUAUACAUAUACAUUAAGAGCAAAUGAAUACUAAUUUAAGUUUAGUUUAUUACAUGCAAUACUGUAUAUAUCCUGCAAAGUUGCUUAUAGGUUUAGUUCGAACAGAGCUAAGGCUGUGCCUUUCCACUGAGGCAGAGAUGAGAGACCUGCGGGAAUUAUCCUAUUGGUUGUAAUCCGCCAGAUGUGUGCCAGUGGAGUAACUACGCGUGGGCGAAGUGGGCCGUUGCCCAGGGCCUCACGCCCCAAGAGGGGCCUCGCGCGAGGCCCCUUUUCGGGCACAUUGAAAGAAAAAGGCCUCGUAGAUGCUUCGCCCACGGGUAGUUUAGUUCACGCUACGCCACUGAUGUGUACAAUGAUAUUAGUUCAUUCCCGCACGUCGCCCGUCUCUCCGCCUCAGGUAGCCAGGGCACCUAGCCAACAUGCCAAGUAUACGCUCCGUAGCGAACUAAACAACUAUAGUCAGACCGUAAAAAUCUGCAGCGAUUUUGAUAGCCCACGCAGUGCAAGUGUCAUUUUUAACGUCAAACUUCUAUGAAAUUAUGACGUUUACAUAACACUUACACUGCGUGGGCUAUCAAAUCCGCUGCAGACUUUGUUUGGUGCGACUAUAUGUUUCCAUCGCAACAAUUUGGUAGAGUGAGAGAUCACUACGCUACGGAGCGUAAACGACUGACAUGUUAGCUAAGCACCUUAAGGUUCGAAAUGCAAUCGUCACGGAAAUCAAUCUGUAUAACGAAAAAGCAUUAUUGUGUACACUUAGUACAUUCAGUUUACAACUUGUUACUUAAUAGGUAGUUUAUUUUAAAAAUUUUCAAAAUUUUGCAUAGAUAGUUAACAAAUUUAUAACGUGCCUCUAGUAGGUAGAAUUUAGGAAAAUAAAAAAUUAUAUCGUGCCUUUCUAAAUUGUUUAUAUGUAUGUUUACCAAAUAUAAAACUAAACUGUGA